rnacentral:lncRNA from 1 species
UCAGGCUGCUGCGUGGUUGGGGGUUUGUGUAUUUGCUUGUCCUGUCCUGGCCCACACACAUGGUGGGGAGUGAGCAGGAGCCCUCCCCCCUGCCUAUGGCAUGUGAGCCUUCAUGGGGAGGGGUCAUCCUGGGCCCACAGCCCCCAAGCAUACAUGUGUGCCCAUGUGGUCCUCUCUCUUGGAUUGGGAGGUUCCCCGAACUUGGUAACCCUUCCAGCUGGGCUCAGCUUCCUCUGUUCAACUGUGGAGGGCUUGUGAAGGCUCCCUGGCAAGGUGGGAGAUUUGCUGAAGAAGCUGUUGCCUUCACAGAGGGGCAGAUGUCAAAUACUGUGAGGCCGUAUCCUCAUCUGGUGUCAUCCAGCAUCAUUCCACUGAAGUCCGUCUAA